AAUAGAUACCCAGGUAGUCCACGCCGUAAACGAUGAGUGCUAAGUGUUAGGGGGUUUCCGCCCCUUAGUGCUGCAGCUAACGCAUUAAGCACUCCGCCUGGGGAGUACGGUCGCAAGACUGAAACUCAAAGGAAUUGACGGGGGCCCGCACAAGCGGUGGAGCAUGUGGUUUAAUUCGAAGCAACGCGAAGAACCUUACCAGGUCUUGACAUCCCAUUGACCACUAUGGAGACAUAGUUUUCCCUUCGGGGACAACGGUGACAGGUGGUGCAUGGUUGUCGUUAGCUCGUGUCGUGAGAUGUUGGGUUAAGUCCCGCAACGAGCGCAACCCUUGUUCUUAGUUGCCAUCAUUUAGUUGGGCACUCUAAGGAGACUGCCGGUGACAAACCGGAGGAAGGUGGGGAUGACGUCAAGUCAUCAUGCCCCUUAUGACCUGGGCUACACACGUGCUACAAUGGACGGUACAAACGGUUGCCAACCCGCGAGGGGGAGCUAAUCCGAUAAAACCGUUCUCAGUUCGGAUUGUAGGCUGCAACUCGCCUACA
rnacentral:rRNA from 1 species